CAAGAAAGCUCAACCCUUAACAUUACGGUCCAUUCUGUAGGCUGAAAUUACAAAGAACCGAAACUGCAAAUGAUAUCAUGCAGCAGGGAACAGUUUGUGUGAGUCAACAACGAAGACUAAACACCGGGCGGACGGCAGCCUUGGUAAACAACCAUGCAUCAUGGUCCGCCUUCUUUGACAUCCCUCCAUCUGGGCUCCUCUUCGUUUCCAUAGAAAAAAAAGUUCAAUCAGGAGCGAGUGACUGUCAGCUGGUGUGUGGGGAUAAUGAAGUCAGAUCCCAAGGGAGAAAGCUGAGAGGAGAACAACAAAAAAGCAGUUUCAGUUCACUUCCACUGAUCUGCUCUCAGCCUCAUGAAUUCUAGUUGGACUCCAGUCUCACCACAUCGGACAGCAGGUUCUACUGGGCAACCGUGAAGGCCACAUGAACAGAGAACAUCG